AGGUCGCAUGCGUGGUUCCAAGUGAAGGACACCAUGUAGACAAGAGAGCUACGAGAUAAACUGGCUAGGUCACAUGGGUGGUACUAAGUGUUCACCAUGUGUACAAGAGAGCCGAACUAUAUGAUGGGUGGAGCUAUGUGCUGAAACCACCAAGUAUCGAGGAUUGAUCCGAAGUGUUCAACGGGAGACUCUCUAAGUAUUGCUUUGUGAGUUUUGUGAUGAAUAUGUGCAGGAACUUGGUUAUGUGAAUGAUGUGUUCAUUAAGUGACCAGGAUGUGGUAAGGUUAUAAACAAGUAAGUUAUACAUGAGGAUGAUUUUAUGGUGAUCUUGUGAUCAUGGGCCUAUACUUGUGAUGUAUGAAAUGUGGUGAAAAUGAUUUGUGAUAUAAAUGUUAAAAUGAGGUUAAUACAAAGAAA